rnacentral:rRNA from 1 species
CUUGGUCAUUUAGAGGAAGUAAAAGUCGUAACAAGGUCUCCGUUGGUGAACCAGCGGAGGGAUCAUUACCGAGUUUACAACUCCCAAACCCCUGUGAACAUACCUAUACGUUGCCUCGGCGGAUCAGCCCGCGCCCCGUAAAACGGGACGGCCCGCCCGAGGACCCCUAAACUCUGUUUUUAGUGGAACUUCUGAGUAAAACAAACAAACAAAUCAAAACUUUCAACAACGGAUCUCUUGGUUCUGGCAUCGAUGAAGAACGCAGCAAAAUGCGAUAAGUAAUGUGAAUUGCAGAAUUCAGUGAAUCAUCGAAUCUUUGAACGCACAUUGCGCCCGCCAGUAUUCUGGCGGGCAUGCCUGUUCGAGCGUCAUUUCAACCCUCAAGCUCAGCUUGGUGUUGGGACUCGCGGUAACCCGCGUUCCCCAAAUCGAUUGGCGGUCACGUCGAGCUUCCAUAGCGUAGUAAUCAUACACCUCGUUACUGGUAAUCGUCGCGGCCACGCCGUUAAACCCCAACUUCUGAAUGUUGACCUCGGAUCAGAUAGGAAUACCCGCUGAACUUAAGCAUAUCAAUAAGCGGA